AUUUUAAUAGUGGAUUAGGUGUGAAUGGGGUGAGCAGGAGGUGGGUGUGGAGGGACCCCUAAAGGAAACCAUUAGGAGGUGAAAAUGUUCAAGAGAAAAAAGGCUUCUAGACCUCCUUUCUUCACAACAAGGAUUUAGAAAACUUUCUGGGUUUUGCGACUUCCAGUGGCAUGUGCAGAAAUCCAAAUGACCAAUCCAAUAAAAUUAGAUAUAGUAACAUUCUUAUCUGUAUCUUGAUAAAUCAGUACUUGUUCCCGACAGAUGAUUAAGGGUUGAGAUACUGGGUGCCGCUAACGUUACUGACAGACAUCACGAGACUUGGUAGAACUUUUGCUUCAAAGCGGGAGGAAAAUUGCCUAAGACGUGUUUUACUAUGGGCCAGGUGUGCCUCGAAGGGCAAAAACAGCUGACAACAACAGGACUUCAGAGCAUUCGCAGAGUGUGCCGAAGGAGUGAGAUUUUGCAUUUUGCUCUUGAGAAACAAUAUAGAAACAGACAGUUGCCAAAGCAUAUGUGACAAUUGAACUCUGACCCAUGUAAGAAACCUGGAUGCCAAACCACAAUUUCUUUAGCAACUAGUUCCGGAAACCAAACCACAACCCAUGCAACAAACAGCCCAGAAUGGUAAGGGUUUCGUCAGUAACUGUCAAGUUCCCUCUUUUUGCCCUAACUUCCAACUCAGGACCAGCCAGAUAAAGCCAGAGAUACCCUCCAAACCAAUCACAGAAGAUGACCUGCUUUUAGUGAGUCCACCUCUACCUACACCAUAGCAACACCUCCAAUCAGAGCACACCUGAAGCCUUGCCUUUUUUCUUGACAAAGCUUUCCCGCAUCCGUGCCUGCCUUUGAGUUUCCUCCAAACCCAAGUGAUGGGUGCUGAUUCCCUUGUUAUAGCAAGCUCUGAAUAAAUAUCCUCUGUUCUCA